GAUGAACGCUGGCGGCGUGCCUAAUACAUGCAAGUCGAGCGAACAGAUGAGGAGCUUGCUCCUCUGACGUUAGCGGCGGACGGGUGAGUAACACGUGGAUAACCUACCUAUAAGACUGGGAUAACUUCGGGAAACCGGAGCUAAUACUGGAUAAUAUAUUGAACCGCAUGGUUCAAUAGUGAAAGACGGUUUUGCUGUCACUUAUAGAUGGAUCCGCGCCGCAUUAGCUAGUUGGUAAGGUAACGGCUUACCAAGGCAACGAUGCGUAGCCGACCUGAGAGGGUGAUCGGCCACACUGGAACUGAGACACGGUCCAGACUCCUACGGGAGGCAGCAGUAGGGAAUCUUCCGCAAUGGGCGAAAGCUUGACGGAGCAACGCCGCGUGAGUGAUGAAGGUCUUCGGAUCGUAAAACUCUGUUAUUAGGGAAGAACAAAUGUGUAAGUAACUAUGCACGUCUUGACGGUACCUAAUCAGAAAGCCACGGCUAACUACGUG
rnacentral:rRNA from 1 species